AUUGAACGCUGGCGGCGUGCCUAACACAUGCAAGUCGAGCGGUAACAGGUGUAGCAAUACAUGCUGACGAGCGGCGAACGGGUGAGUAAUGCUUCGGAAUCUACCCAAUGGUGGGAUAAUCAGCCGAAAGGUUGGCUAAUACCGCAUACGUCCCACGGGAGAAAGCAGGGGAUCGCAAGACCUUGCGCCAAUGGAUGAGCCGAAGUCGGAUUAGCUAGNGGUAGGGUAACGGCCUACCAAGGCGACGAUCCGUAGCUGGUCUGAGAGGACGACCAGCCACACUGGGACUGAGACACGGCCCA
rnacentral:rRNA from 1 species